ensembl:misc_RNA Gm25491 predicted gene, 25491
UGACUGAGUUAUUUUGGCUAUGACAUCUGCUACCUCAGAUAUCAGGUUGAUUGGGCUGAUAUGGCUGACUCAACAGUGGCCCCUUCCUCCCCCCACUGCUCUAUGCACACCCCUCCCCAAGAUGUAUGCUGAUUUGAAGAGGGCAACCUUUCCCCCAUAAGAGGAAGACCAGACUUCUGGACUGCUUGCUGUCAAGGGUAUACAAGCAGUUGGUUUCCUUGUAUGAACCUCUAAACAAGCUCUCAGAAUGCCUGGAAUUAUAGUUCCAUCUUUAUUGAAACCUUUCAUCCAAACUUACGCAGCAUCUUU